UGCAUCAUAUCCCAGUAGUAAAAAUCGAUCGAACAUCGCAAUACGGGACGAAGGGAGAAGGGUACGGGAAAUCCGAAGAUCGUGAAGUGCAAACGAAGAAGUCUGUCAGCCAUAGUAAAAGCAGUAUAGAAACAGUAGGCAGAAAUUGCAUCAGCCGUUUUAAAGUUCUCUCAACGACCACGACAGCGACCCAGUCAUUACAUCGUACGCGAAUCGUAUAUAAAUUGCACGAUCAAGCCAACCGUUCUCCAGUCUUCUUUCCCACCACCAUCGUAAAAGUAUAUAUAUCGAGGGUACAUAAGAAAUCGACAUGAGAAAUAAAACAGCUGCACGUAGGACGGAUGAGCAGCUAUUUUUAUUAGCAAGUAUUCACCAGUUCACCAACUACCAACGUGGCCCAGCAUCGAGCACCGAAGAUACUUUUCUCUCUGCCUCCGGCGUCUCUCUUUUGUUGGAAUUGUCAGAAAGCAGGAAUCUGACGACCAAGGCCUCUGCCCGUUGAUCUCGUUCCGGGUUUCGUUGUCCCUGGUCCCUUAGGAAACGGGGCAGCGACACACGAAUGUCGUCUAGAGUUGCUACGCGGGCGUAAAAAUCGCACAACUGCUCCACUGGGCGAUACACACGCGGAGGCAAGUGUCAACUUACGAAACCGAUGUGCAAACUAAAAAUCUCCAUCGUGGUACAGCGGCGACUAUUUACCACUGCAUCGUACGAUUUUACACACCAACGAUACUUGCAGUCAUCGGUAAGUGUAACACACUCCUGCCAGCUGCGCCCGUGCAUUAUCGAAUGCCAUAAAACCGUCAGGGCACGUCUCGAGUUUCAUGGUGCAGAGGGGGUUCGUUCCCGUCGGCUCACACCGAGGGGGUGGUAAUCAUCUCGUGCACCCUGGAGGAUUUCUUGAAGUAUGAGGUAUUAGAUACAGCCACGUGGCACCGCAAGUCUAAAAUUAAUAUUUCAGCAAUUCAGCUUUAGUCAAACAACCUCUGAUAGUUUUCAUCAUUGCGGAUUCGCCACAUGUACACCUUCAAGUAUCCGAAGCCUGUAAUAUUUUGUCUUGUAACAUAAAUUUGGUACGCAGUGGGUAAGUUGUAAUAAUCCUUCCGCCAUUGCCGCCUUGCCAAAUCGAAUCCUGCAGUUCGCGUUACAUUCGAAGCGCAUUGUACCGGGGAGACCGGAAAUUGUUUCACACUGUAACAAGUCUGUUACUCGACGAUGGAGCUCUGGAGAGGUCUGGAAGUCACUGCAUGCGCGUACUGACUUUAAGGCCAAGAGUAUUAAACUUGGAGGAGGCAAAUACGAGCGAUACAAGGAUCACAUACAUAGCGACGGAGAAGAUUUUAGCAUGCAGGACGUGGAGCCCCUAAUGCUAAAAUAUCGUCUGUACACCCGCGGCCAACCCUCCGCAUUCCAAAAGCAUGAAAGCUCGGAUGGUUCUGUGAGAGCUGCCCAGUAAAAAUUCGCAUGCCAAAGGCGGUAUUCCUUUGGUAACCGAACACUCACGUGUCAGUUGAUUACAGACAACACGUCGUUCGCCAUUACAUGUGCUUAUUCAUUUUCGAUCUCGUACGCGUGCUUAUAUUGUAUAUAUAUAUAUAUAUAUAUACGUACAUCUGUCGAUCUCUGAAUUACGGAAGUAAAUAGAAAUCUUUUUCACCCGAUACCGAGCAAUUCAUGCCCAUAUUUCGGCCAGAGUAUCAAACCAAAUGUGAAGACUUCAACGUCAACGUUACCACUCGACUAUGUAUUACGGAGGUACAAUCAUCAAACGUCAGAUGUGUCGGUUCAAUAUUUACUCCGUCCGAAGACUUCAAGGUAAUUAUUUGACGGCUGACCUGACAGCAACCAAUAUUUGAUUACUCAACCAAAGCUAACGCGAGUUGUUACUAUGAACCGUUUGCUAACUGGUUUCUUUUUUUCUUUUACACGAAAUUGUUUCUAGGGAAUGCCUCGUUAGGUAAGAUAGAGGUAUAUUAUCUAGUCAAUAAACUACGUCAACUUAAUAUUGUCUCGCUCGUUACAUUUCUACUUUAAAUAAUUCACGGAGCAUAUACUAGCCAUAAAAGAGACAGGCAUUUGAAUGCCACGAUCUUCACCUCAUGUCGAGAUUCAUGUUAGUUUACAAAUUAU
rnacentral:lncRNA from 1 species